UGUUGUUGUUGUUUGAAUUUAUUGGUUAGUUACAGAAACCUGCUGCACAAUAUGGCAUUCAACCCGAUGCUGCCCUUGCUGUUGAAUGAUACAUUGGAAAAACUUGACGGAUGUUUUUUUUUUCAGCCAAGGGACUUGGUGCAACCGGGUGACACUAGUUGGAUUUAAUCUCAACAAAUGAUGUCUGUUGAAAACAACCUGAGGUGUUUGCAGAAUCAUGCCAAUUGUCGCUCAAGUUCCCGGGAUGCGGAUGUUGAUCAGUAGAUCUGCCAAUUCGUUGCUGUAAAUGCAGAAGUGAGGAACAAAUUUAGCAAGCUUUGGUGAAUGAUGUAAUCAUUGUUCUAAAAAUUCUCACUUAGGUGGCUGGCCACCGUCCCGAUUAAUUCUUAGGGGUUUGAAAAUUAAGAAAGGGCGCAUAGACCGAUUUCUAGGUUGGGACACCCACUUGUACAAAAAAUUAAUAACUUUCCCUUUGCGUUUUAUUUUUUCAAGAAAAUGUAAGAGACUUGUUGAAUUCUUGAAUGAACGCUCACUAUGUUUUAAUACUCAAUAUGUAUCCCAAU
rnacentral:sRNA from 1 species